UACGUAGGAUGCGAGCGUUGUCCGGAGUUACUGGGCGUAAAGCGUGGGCAGGCGGUCGUCUGCGUCCGAGGUCAAAGGUCCCGGCUCAACUGGGAACAGGGUUCGGAAACGAGGCGACUGGAGGACAAGAGAGGGAAGUGGAACUCCCGGUGGACCAGUGAAAUGGGUAGAGAUCGGGAAGAACACCAGAGGGGAAGCCGACUUCCUGGCUUGGGCCUGACGCUGAACCACGACAGCUUGGGGAG
rnacentral:rRNA from 1 species